rnacentral:rRNA from 1 species
AUUGAACGCUGGCGGAAUGCUUUACACAUGCAAGUCGAGCGGCAGCGCGGGGGCAACCCUGGCGGCGAGCGGCGAACGGGUGAGUAAUAUAUCGGAACGUACCCCGUCGUGGGGGAUAACACAGCGAAAGCUGUGCUAAUACCGCAUACGACCUGAGGGUGAAAGCGGGGGAUCGCAAGACCUCGCGCGAUGGGAGCGGCCGAUAUCGGAUUAGCUUGUUGGUGAGGUAAAGGCUCACCAAGGCGACGAUCCGUAGCUGGUCUGAGAGGACGACCAGCCACACUGGAACUGAGACACGGUCCAGACUCCUACGGGAGGCAGCAGUGGGGAAUUUUGGACAAUGGGGGCAACCCUGAUCCAGCCAUUCCGCGUGAGUGAAGAAGGCCU